AAUACGUUCCCGGGCCUUGUACACACCGCCCGUCACACCACGAAAGCGGGCAACACCCGAAGCCGGUGUCCUAACCCUUACGGGAGGGAACCGUCGAAGGUGGGGCUCGUGAUUGGGGUG
rnacentral:rRNA from 1 species